UCAUUGACGUUAAUUUUCGAACAAUUUCAGAUGCUAGACAAUGUUUCUUAAAAAAUCUGUAAUAUCAUGUGCUUUCCAAUCUUAAAGUUUAUAUUAUUGAUACUUUAGUAUAUACCCUUAGAAUAACAGAACCUUCAGAAUAACACCAAAUGAGCGAGUGGCGCCAAUUUCGGUGUAUCAUCUGGCAACCCCUUUGGACAAAAAUAUGACGGCAGCGCAUGCGCUCUUGGAUAUUGUCAUCACUCUUUUCAAUACAGGCACUCUACCGAUAACCAUACACGCCUCGCUACAGCCGUCUAUUUAUUCGGAUCCAUCCGCAGUUCAGAGGGCGCUGCUCAGCAUACGCAUGCGCUACGGGUCUGAAAUUCUAAUCAUUUGCAUAUUAUGCUCUACUUUGCAUUUCCUGAAAAUUUCAGCUCACUCACAUAAGUCCCUCAUGGUGUUGCAAUUUUCACAAACAUGAGUUUAGCUUUGUAUUUUCACAUCACGGACGCGAGCCCCCAUUAUCUGUAGGGGCUUGUGGAGCAAGGGAGAAAAAAAAAGACAAUAGUUUAAUAAUGAAACUUAACAUUUAAUAAAAAUGGAAAAAAGAAAGAAAGAAGUUUAACAGUGAUAUCAUGAACGGUGAGAGUUGCCUACACGCAGUGUUGCAGGAACCAGAAUGAAUUCUAAAUUAGAUUGCUCUAUAGAAAAGAGUUAAGUUCAUUUAAUAUUUGGGAGUUUUCCCAUCUAGACAUUGUGUCUCCAUGGACAGUCAGGCGCCUUUCAAUGAGGAAGUAGAUGAUGCAAUUCACCCAACUAUUACAUAUAUAUUUUAUAUUAAAUGUUAAAUAAGUCGAGAACUAUCAAUAUGUCAAACAACAGCCCAUUGAGGACCAGGAGGUUAAAUUGCUACAAUUUCGUGACCAGCUGCCAUAAUAGUGACAAAAUAUUCCUGUACAAUGCAACCCCAAGAUAUGAAUUGUUUGCCAAAGAGGUGAUCCCCUUACCAGUUCACCUUUGAACAAGUUUUCAGAACCUGAACAAUAGACUGACUAUCUCUACCCUAAUAUCUCCUCUAAAGUAAACCCAGCCUUAUUUUAUACCUGGAAGGAGAAUAACUAAUAUUUUAGCAUGGAAAACAAAAAAUGAAAGACAUUAACACUUAUUUGUUAAUAUUUUUGAGCAAGGUAUGGAAGCAUAAAUUUUCCUCCACUUCCACAAGCCAGCCACCACUUUAUGUAAAAUAAAAUAAAAAUUGUGUACGAUUGAUAAAAUAAAUGUCCAUGCUAAAAAUCAAGUCAAGUUUGUUUAAAAACUUUCACAAAACUUUAUUUAUAAUUAAAAUUUUACAUUUAUGUUUAAUUUGCAGGUUAUAUUGAAAUUCUACAUGUACUGUAUUAAAUAUUGCACUUCAAUAUACAUUGAAUACAAGGCUUCAAUGUUUUAAAAAAAUCUCAGUUCAUAUUUGAGUAGUUUAAAAUGGAAUACUGUGUUGUAAGUAGUGAAUGUUUCUAAUGCAGUCAAACAUUGGUCAAGUAAAUAUAAAAGAAA